GGACAUACGCGCCUAUCUUUCUUAACGUUGCAGAGGAUGCAUACAAUAAGAGAAUCGAGAUAGACAUUGUUGUCUCGUUUCUUGAUGCUCUAAGAGGCUUGGGGGCAAUCUGUCAUAUAUUGGUUCAAGAUACAGUGGCUAUGCUGAAAGAUGCUCCUAUGGAGAACAGUAUCAAUAGACGUACCGGUACACAUUCCUCUAAGUUUGAGAAGAGACUGAACAACUUGAAAGAAGAAUUCAUGGCGUCUGCAGAAGCUACAGGAAUCAAACACACGUUGGUGAUGGGUAUGCUCUUUGAUGGAAUGAAACGUGCACAAUUGUAUAUACUCAAGCUGAUCCAGGAGCGCAGGGAAGCUCUAGGCUGUCUUUUCUUAGCACAAGCAGCAUCCGCAUUUAGAGAAGCGCGAAUGAAGAAUUGUUGAAGAUCAUCUGCGCGGUCAUGACUCGUGUACGCUUGUCUCCUUUUGAUCUUGAUAUUAAAAAGAGAUCGUUUGCUUGCUUAGCGUACCGCCAGUUCCAUUCUUCAACUUCGAUUGGUCGUUUCUUUGGUAUUAAAAGAAGUCUCUUUGUACUCUCAUCUGCGCGAGUGUGUGGCAUCUUCAUUUUUUUUAAUCGUCCGCGUGUGUGCUUAUUUGUCUGAACUGCACGUUGAAUUUGCUUGUGUCGUCGUCAUACAAUGAGGUAGGUUGAUAGCUAGCACCGAAAUGGCAAUGGCAAGCAAAACUAACAGAAUCGGGGACAGGUGUCAAACAUUUGCUAAACGGAAAUAAAACACAAGCUUUGCAACUUUAUUAUUAUUAGAUCAUGAUUCAUGAAACGAAAACAGAGAAGAGGCGUCCGGUUCUCAUUAAAAAAAAAGUUACAAGCCUCCACAGAACUGGGGAGUAAACACAGUUGAAAUCAAAGCAAAGUGAAACGCAACCGUAGAUAUGCAACUGAAAUUACUUUGAAUGAACCUAAACAAGAUACACAGUUUGGCACAGGCACGGUUUGCUACCAGAAGCAGCACUCGAGCAUCACUAUAUAUUGUGUAUAAAGGAUAUUACCAUAACGGGACUCCUAACUUAAGGAAGAUCGACAUCACUAUAGUAGUAUCUCUAACCAAUUUGAACUUGAGGAUAAGUUUUUUUUCAAUAGGGGCAGAAUGAUAAGGCUAUGUGAAGCAUGCAACAUUACUCCUAUAUUUUGUGGCUUGCUGGUACUAAUAUUCAUGAUUUUAGCAUUCAUAUGUUAUAUGAUUGGAAAGAUAUAUGCGUUUAGUUUCCAACGCAACCUUAGGAGCUAGGAGUUAUGACCAUUUUAGUGGAAGCUACACAUGCAGUUUUAUGGCUGCGACUGCGUCUGCGAGAGAAACAGAGGACUCUUCAAUUUCUCCACCAAGACGAUCUUCCAUUUUUAUUUUUUAUGCUUAUUAUGUUCACAACCAAUUAGAAGGGAUGUUCCUAGUAUAAAUAAUUUAUCUAAUCUAUUAUUUGAAGGAGAGUUGAUAUUGGUACGAUAUGAGAAUUGAGUUGAUCUUAUUGAGUCGAUCCUAUCUAUUAUUUGAAGGAGAAUUGAGUUGAUCUUAUUGAUA